rnacentral:rRNA from 1 species
AUUGAACGCUGGCGGCAGGCUUAACACAUGCAAGUCGAGCGGGGUGAUGGUGCUUGCACUAUCACUUAGCGGCGGACGGGUGAGUAAUGCUUAGGAAUCUGCCUAUUAGUGGGGGACAACAUCUCGAAAGGGAUGCUAAUACCGCAUACGUCCUACGGGAGAAAGCAGGGGAUCACUUGUGACCUUGCGCUAAUAGAUGAGCCUAAGUCGGAUUAGCUAGUUGGUGGGGUAAAGGCCUACCAAGGCGACGAUCUGUAGCGGGUCUGAGAGGAUGAUCCGCAACACUGGGACUGAUACACGGCCCAGACGCCGACGGGAGGCAGCAGUGGGGAAUAUUGGACAAUGGGGGGAACCCUGAUCCAGCCAUGCCGCGUGUGUGAAGAAGGCCUUAUGGUUGUAAAGCACUUUAAGCGAGGAGGAGGCUCUUUUGGUUAAUACCCAAGAUGAGUGGACGUUACUCGCAGAAUAAGCACCGGCUAACUCUGUGCCAGCAGCCGCCGUAA